CUUUUCAGAUUUCGGCCAUAUGUACAUUUGACAUCGAUAUGGACUUUAUAGUAGACUUUUUACCAACAUUUAUAAUCACAUUGGGUCAUCUGGUCAUGUUUUGCAUACGAAUCGGGCAGGUAGACAAAUUUAGAGAAUUAUUCGAGCGUAUGUCGAAAGAUUGGGCGUUGCAAAAGACACACGAUGAGAUCAAGAUUAUGCAUGAGCACGCUGAGAUUGCAAGAUUAUUCACAUUGUCCUACUUCAUCGUGCCAUACACAUUGAUGGUGGGAUACGUCAUAUGGAUGUCCAUUCCAGAAAUUCUAGACGUUAUAUCGCCCAUGAAUGAGUCCCGCCCGCGAAUACAAGUUUUUAAAGCUCAAUUCUUUAUCGAUGAGGAGCAAUACUCAUACCUCAUUCACUCCCACUUAUGUCUUGUGAUUCUCACCAUACCUGUAAUUUAUAUCACCUUUUCCACUCUUUUUCUGACUCUCACGCAACACGCUUGCGGAAUGUGCGAGUUGCUGGGGUAUCGCGCGGAACGCUUAAUUUGCCUUGUCAAAGGCGAGACGACGUGCGAUUUAAUUCAUGGAUCACAAACAAAUUGCAGAAACAUAGCUGUUUUUGUACGGCUACAUUACAACAUUAUACAAUUCGUUGAUAUAAUCGAAACUUGUUACACAGUACCGUUUCUAUUGGAACUUACAGGAGUAGUGAUUUUGCUGGGUAUUACGUUAAUGCAGCUUUCAGAUCUAUCGGUGUCUCCGUUGUAGUACUAUGUUAUGUAUUCAUAUCUUGUUAUAUGAGCCAAGAGGUCAUGGAUCUGAGUGCGAGUGUAUGUGAAAAAAUAUUCAACUCUAUGUGGUACAACGCACUUAUUUCAGAGCAGAAGGCAUUGUUAAUAAUAAUAGCGCGAUGCUACCAUCCGUUGAUUUUUACCGCCAGUAAAUUUUACGUGAUGUCUUUGCAGAAUUUCGGAAUGAUACUGCAAACAGCGAUUUCAUACUGCAUGUUCAUCAGGCAAUUCUGAAAAUGCCUCUGCCAAGAUGUAAGCGUAGCAGUAGCGUAGAAAAUUCGCGGGAAUGUUAGAUGUGUACCAGAUCUCCUUUAUCGUAUCGAAAAUUCUUCUUUAUAGAGACAGGAUUUCGUUGAUGUAGUUUACAGCAAGAGAUCGGCUGAUAAUAUUUUCAAGACGAUUUGCCUUACGUAAGAAAAUCCGAUUUCUUAUAUCUUAUUCAGAGAUAAAUAUCUGUAUAAUAUCUAAUAAAUGCCUGUCUACUUCUGUAUAUCUGUCUAUAGCGUUAACUAGAAAUUCCUCUUUUGGAACACUUGUAAAUAAUAUUUCAAUCAAGUCUGCUGUUAAAAUAAAAAAUUGUUUCUCCUAUAUCUUCUAUAAGAGAAAUGUAUCUCGAAGUGAUUUGGUCGUUGUUGGUUACGUACUGUGCAAAAUAGACGGCUUGAAUACUGUAUUUUACCUCGGACUUCCUUUACUCGACAUUCGCUACCUUUGCCUCUGAAAAUCGAAAAAUAUUUGCGAUGUCGCAGCGGAAUAAUUGCGCGUGUGAGAAAAACGAAUACCAUGGAUGGAAAACUGCCGGAAGACAAUUUUUGUUCGUAGACCACCGGAUGUUUCCCACGCUA